AGAAGCGACAGAGAGAGAGGAAUCUGAUGUUCCCAGAGGAAAUAGCAAUGACCCCACAGAGCUGAGGACACCACGGGAAGAUGAGAAAGCUCACUGGGGAAGAAGCCCUUGACCUCCCAGAUGCCCAGCACUGGGUGUGCAGCAGAGCUGGUGAUUCCAGCUGGGGAGGUGAGGACUCCACUGCGAGCUGAGCGGGAACAGCCCCUUCCCAUGACUGAGGCCCCAGAGGCACGGAAUGGUCAGAAUGCCGGUGGCUGAGGGAGGCACGGGGGCAGCUGCUGGAGGAGGGAGACACGCAGAAGGAGCAUUUCAGGCACUGGAAGGACAGGUCAUUUCUCUGCCCCGCCUCCGCUCCUUCCUUUGCUGCCCCCAGAGAGUGGUUUCCGGCAGCUCUGUUAUCUCGGGGCUGGCAGGUGGUUUCUGCCUCUCCCUCACUCAGCAAACACGCAGCUUGGUCUCGGCAUGCACCUCGCCUAUCUCAUCCUCACGGUCUUCCUGGGCCAGCUCCUGGGCACCACGGGGCAGAUCAAGGUCACCCAGGAAGAUGGACAAGUCAUGGUGAAGCAGAGACAUCCCUUCCAGACCACCUGCACAUACCAGACCAAUUAUUUUAAUGCUUUGCUGUGGUACCAGUUGCGGAAAGGCCAAGCCCCACAGCUGGUCUCCUAUCACGCAGGGCCUGGCGCCAAGCACAGCGGCCGUAUCACCACGCACCUGAACACCACGGGGAAAUACAGUGUCCUGCAGGUGGAGGAAGUGGAGGUCUCUGACAGUGCCUUGUACCUCUGUGCUGUGCAAGACACCCUGGUGCAGGGAACUUCCUCGGCUGUGCAACAAGCCAGGGGAGGGAGGGAGGGAGGGGAUGUGUCUGUGUGAGGGUGAGCUUGGGGCAAGGGAACCUGAGGUCGCCCCG